GCUAAGGAGGUGGUGGAGGCAUUUCCAGUGACACCAUCUGAAAUAAUGAUACCUUCCCGUAUGCGUCUCCUUUCCAAGCUACGUAAGGGGGUGGCUGGAACAAUCUUAGAAGCAUCAGUUUUCAACCCCAAAGAUCAUUGCUCCUUUUGUGGACAAGAUUCUCCUGUUGGACUUGUGGGUCGGAAUACAUGGAUUCAGUGCAGCACAUGCGAAAGGUGGUAUCACUCUGUCUGUGUCAACAUUCCUAAAAGAGCCAUUCCAAAAUUUAAGAAUGUUAUGUGGUUGUGUGCAUUCUGUAGAUAAAAAAUACCAAAACGGUUGAAAUUGUACAUGUACAAAAAAUUGUUUACUCUU